CACACUUCACAGGUGAAACUGCAGGCUUAAAUAGUCUCAGCUGUGAUGGACCCAACUACCUUCAAUUCACAGGGGGAUCUCACUUAACCAAUCUCCACCUAUUUAAAUAAAAUAAAUUUUACUAAAUAUAAACAUUUAAAUUUACUUUUUAUAAAUAUCUUAGGUUUUAUCUUACACCAAAUGAUACACCACAAAAACCCAUAAACAAUUCUUCCCCCCCACACACUUUUCAAUGGCCUCUCCUGGAACCUAUAAAUGGUGUCUGGACCCCCAGGCUAGUAUUUGUCCAAACACCGUGGAGAGGACACAGAAAAGACAGGUGAGUCACUCAAUAUCAGCACUCCACACCUAACAGAUUAUACACAAACAUUUGCUCAGUUUUACCCACCAGUAGCUCAUUGCUCUGAAUAAAAAAUAUCCUCCCUCCACAGGCAACCACCUCACUUCUCAAAGAGGGGCAGCUGUGCAGAGUCCAGAAUAAAAGGCUACAUGCUAAUUACUAAAAUACUCAAUAAAUACAAUUAAAACUUCUCGUGUGCAAAUUAUUUAUGUGCAAAUCUCUGCUUAAAGUGCAGUGCUAAAUAAAGUGCUUGUUAAUAAAGUGCAAAAAGUGCUUUUAAAGUGCUAAACAGUGACUUAAAUACAAAUAGACCCAGUAAUGAAGCUCUCUUCAUUACAUUUCCUCCCUCCUCUCUUAAGAGUACCUCAGUACCAUCCAGCGAUUCGGGCGUUGGCAUCCCUCAUUCGUCUUAGCCAUUGGAGGGCACGAUGGUCAGUCUCUAAAAUAAAGUGACGUCCUAAAAGAUAAUACCUGAGGGCCUCAAUAGCCCACUUCAUGGCCAAACACUCCUUUUCCACUGUUGGAUAUCUUGUCUCUCUAUCAAGCAGCUUCCGACUCAGAAACACCACAUGUCUUCUUUCACCGUCCACCUCUUGUUGAAGGACAGCUCCAAGUCCCAGUGCACUAGUGGGGAGCAGUGAAAUGCUAAUGUUUGUGUUUCUCUCAGGCCCUAACCUGAGAGAAAAAGAUAAUAAAGGCUAAUGUUGUUGCAGACGUCCAGAGGAAGAGAAAGUGAUGCUACAUUGUUUGCUUGAUUUCUAGUCUUUUGGGGAACGUUUCGACUAGAUUAAAUUGUUUAACCCGCAGUCUGAGGCGCUCAGUAGGAGCAGCAGAUGUCUGCCAUCUGGUGACCCGCCAGAACCGUGCACACGGUAAAAAGCUCAGCCAGGAUCCAAACGACCGCUGUUAGAACUACGAGUGGGAUCAAACUCCGCUCAUUCAUUUUUAGCUUACAGAAAAAGCGCCAAGCCGCCAAAUAAACAAAAGUAAACUGACUAGUAACAUUUAGGCUUUGACAUGCUCCCUAAUGACAAUGGCUUCGCAAGACAGUCACUGCCCAUCCAUAUGUUGUGCUAUGGCAGGCCCCAAUUAAUUCAUGAUGGACUUCACUAAAAAAGGAACAUGACAUUAAAUCAUAAAUAUGUCUACUUGUAAAAUGAAAUCAAUACAUUUAGCAUAGCUCAAAUUAAUUCUAUAUUAAAUUAUUGCUAUUUCCAUAUUUCAAAACUUUAAGACAUUUAAUUUUAGGAGUUAUUGUAACAUGGCACUCUACUCUCUAUAAUGUGGGUAAAUAUUUGUAUUUGUUCUGGUGGUUAUUUUUUUUUUAAUUCCUUUAUCUCAACACAAAAAUAAAUAUUUAAUGUUGCCAAAAUAUGACAGGAAUCCAAAUUUACACUACAUAAACAUAGAAAGUUGAACAUGUUUACGUGGAGUUAUUUGUGCUAUUGAUAAGUUCAGUUUGAAUGAAAAAUAUAAAAAUUCAAAGUAUUUGUUUAUUUGACAGAAUUAUACUUUUUUAGCUAAAGCUCUUUUUGCAGUGAACUAAUAUGAAUCUGCUAGAGUUCUACAAUAAUCUUAAAAAGUUGUCAGCAAUAUAAACUAGUUACAGAAUGAGUUUCUGCCAAUUUUGAGCAAAAAAGGUCACAAUGUACAAAUAAAAAAAAAUACAUUAAAACCUGGAUUUUAAUGUUACUCUAAUCUGUUCAUAUUCUAGAUUCAUAACAGCAGUUCACAUGCUUACAUCUCCAUUCAUUUCUAACAAAUUUAUGCAGCAUUUAAUUGCACAAAUUUGCAUAAACUGUACAAAAUGAUAUCUCAGUCUGGACAUUUUGGAUUUAAUGUAGAUGCCAUAAAAACAGGGUUUUAUGCUCCAGUUACAAAUUUAAAAAUACAAAAGACAUAUUAAUACAUCAUUGGGCAGUUUUGUCCAAUGCUCCUUUCUUAAACAUUUUUAUUUAAA